ensembl:lncRNA
CGGGAAUGUUAAAAAUUUUUUUUUUUAAUCUUUUCAUCUUCAACUGCUGGUUCAAAACGUUUCAAUAGAAUUGUGCGUACACAUCACAUACUUGUGAAGCAAAUAUAUAACACCUGAACAAACGGUUGGCAACAGAAGAGAUCAGAAAGGCACAGGGGAGGCAUAAUAAGGAUUCUAAGAAUUACAGCCCUGGGGCCACAAUGAGUGCUGGUCGAGGCUUGACUGUUUUGUUAACCAUUUUGGUUGCUGUUGCAAAAGCAGAAACUAUGGCAACGACAACAGAAACUACGGCAACGACAACAGAAACUGCGGCUCCAACAACUGGUUCAACUGCAGUAACAACAACAGAAACUGCGGCAACAACAACAACAACAGAAACUGCGGCUACAACAACUGGUUCAACUGCAUCAAUAACAACAGAAACUGCGGCUACAACAACUGGUUCAACAGCAGUAACAACAACAGAAACUGCAGCAACAACAACAACAGAAACUGCAUCGACAACAACUGGUUCAACUGCAGUAACAACAACAGAAACUGCGGCAACAACAACUGGUUCAACUGCAGUAACGACAACAGAAACUGCGGCAACAACAACAACAGAAACUGCGGCUACAACAACUGGUUCAACUGCAUCAAUAACAACAGAAACUGUGGCAACAACAACUGGUUCAACUGCAAUAACAACAACAGAAACUGCGGCAACAACAACAGAAACUGCGGCGACAACAACUGGUUCAACUGCAGUAACAACAACAGAAACUGCGGCUACAACAACUGGUUCAACUGCAUCAAUAACAACAGAAACUGCGGCAACAACAACUGGUUCAACUGCAAUAACAACAACAGAAACUGCGGCAACAACAACAGAAUCUGCAGCAACAACAACAACUGGUUCAACAACACCUGCUUCAACUGCGGCAACAACAACAACUGGUUCAACUGCAGCAGCAACAACAGAAACUGCGGCAACAACAACAGAAUCUGCAGCAACAACAACUGGUUCAACAACACCUGCUUCAACUGCGGCAACGACAACUGGUUCAACUGCAGCAACAACAACAGAAACUGCGGCAACAAUAACUGGUUCAACUGCCCCAACAGUAACAGAAACUGCGUCUACAACAACUGGUUCAACUGCAUCAAUAACAACAGAAACUGCGGCAACAACAACUGGUUCAACUGCAGCAACAACAACAGAAGCUGCAGCAACAACAACUGGUUCAACAACACCUGCUUCAACAGCAGCAACAACAACUGGUUCAACUGCGGCAGUAACAACACCUGGUUCAACUGCGGCAACAACAACAACUGGUUCAACAACAGUAACAACAACUGGUUCAACUGCAACAACAACACCUGGUUCAACAACAACACCUGGAUCAAAAACAGCAACAACAACUGGUUCAACAGCAGCAACAAUAACACCUAAUGCAACAACAACACCUGGAUCAACAACAACUGGUUCAACUGCGGAAACGACAACAGAAUCUGUGGCAACAACAACAAGUGGUUCAACAAUAGUAACAACAACUGGUUCAACUGCGUCAACAACACCAGAAACCGGAUCAUCAAGAACACCUGGAUCAACAACAACUGGUUCAACUGCGGCAACGACAACAGAAACUGCGGCAACAACAACAACUGGUUCAACUGCAUCAACAACAAUACCAGAAACUGUAUCAACAAAAACACCUGGUUCAGCGACAACUGGUUCAACAGCAGCAACAACAACACCUGGUUCAACAAAAACACCUGGCUCAACAACAACUGGUUCAACUGCAGCAACACCAACAGAAUCUGCGGCAACAACAACUGGGUCAACAGCGGCAACAACAACACCUGGUUCAACAGCAGCAGCAACAACACCUGGUUCAACAACAACACCUGGAUCAACAACAACUGGUUCAACAGCGGCAACAACAACACCUGGUUCAACAACAACAACUGGAUCAACAACAACUGGUUCAACUCCAAAAAACACAACACUUGUUUCAACAACAACUGGUUCAACACCAGCAACAACAACUGGUUCAACAACAGUAACAACAACUGGUUCAACUGCGGCAACAACAACACCUGCUUCAAUAACAACACCUGGAUCAACAACUACUGUUUCAACUGCGGAAACGACAACACAAUCUGCGGCAACAACAACAAAUAGUUCAACAACAGUAACAACAACUGGUUCAACUGCGGCAACAACAACGCCUGUUUCAACAACAACUGGUUCAACUGCUUCAACAACAACGCCUGUUUCAAAAACAACUGGUUCAACAGCAGCAACAACAACUGGUUCAACAACAGCAACAACAACUGGUUCAACUGCGGCAACAACGCCUGGUUCAACAACAACUGGUUCAACUCCAACAAACACAACACUUGUUUCAACAACAACUGGUUCAACACCAGCAACAACAACUGGUUCAACAACAGUAACAACAACUGGUUCAACAGCGGCAACAACAACACCUGUUUCAACGACAACUGGUUCAACACCAGCAACAACAACACCUGCUUCAAUAACAACACCUGGAUUAACAACUACUGUUUCAACUGCGGCAACGACAACACAAUCUGCGGCAACAACAACAAAUGGUUCAACACCAGCAACAACAACUGGUUCAACAGCAGCAGUAACAACAAAUGGUUCAACUGUGGCAACAACAGAAAAAACGACGAUGACGACGACGACGACGAGAACAACAACAACAACAACAACAACAACAACAACAACAACAACAACAACAACAACAACAACAACAACAGCAGCAGCAGUGGCGGUAGUUCGUACACCAGUUGUUGUUCUUGCAGCAGUUUUGGUUAAACCCUUUGUGCCUCAACUCAAAGAUAAAACUAGUCCAGAAUUUAUAGCACUUGCGACAGAAGUGGUAGUAGUGUAUGAAGUCAUCUAUAGAGCUCGAUAUGGUUUGCUUUUCAGCCGUGUUAUUGUCAUAGCAUUCAGACAAGCUGGGACCAGAACACGAGCAUCUGAUACUGAAGCAGAAGUGCAGGUUGUGUUUAACAACACAAUAACACCUGCACAAAUCCCAGAAGCUGAAGCUGUUCAACAAACCUUAGUUGAAGCGGUGUCUAACCCCAACAACACUUUCAACAUCAGUAUCAGUCCAGCAUCUGUCGUAGCAACCCAAAUAAACAUUUUUACAAAGCUGUUGCGGUUCGCAUCGGUUGGAGAGACAUUUACAGCUGACUUGCUGAUCUCAUCAUCUCCAGCAUUUAAAAAUAGAUCAUCACUGAUAGUGACAACACUUGAACCGAUCUACAAUAAAACAUUUUCUUCAUACAACUCAAUGGAAGUGACUGGAUUCCGAAAUGGAUCCAUCAUCACUGACAUCUACAUUCAGUUUGCAUCUACAUCAGCGCCAAAUAACACUGACAUUGAAAAUGUUCUGAUCAAUGCAGCUCCAAACAUAACAGCCUUCAACAUUACCAAUGUUGUUGUCAGUGACCCAGUGGCUUCAACUACAACAACAAUGACUGCACCUACAAACGCAACCACAGCAAACCUUACAAACACCACACCAGGAACAAAUACAACUACAGUGUCUACAACAGCUUCAAGUACACCUGUGAACGCUACAACACCAAUCAUCACUACCCCAACAAACGCAACCACAGUUUCUCCUACAACCACUACAACUGUAACAACUACAAUUGUUGAGGCUGUUACAACAAAGCAGUUGCAGUUCAGAGAUGUUGGAGCAACAUUUACACCUGACUUAGAGAACUCAUCAUCUUCAGCAUUUACAGAAAGAGCCAGACAGACAGUGUUAACACUCGAACCUUUCUACAAGACAACAUUUCCUUCAUUCCGCUCAAUGAGAGUGAUCAGAUUCAGAAAUGGAUCCAUCAUCAGUGACGUUGAUAUUGACUUUGCAUCUAUAUCAGUGCCUAAUAACACUGAGAUUGCAAAUGUUUUGAUCAAUGCAGCUCCAAACAUAACGACCUUCAACAUUAGCAAAGAGUCUGUUAUUGUCAGUGACCCAGUGGUUUUACCUACAACUGUGAGCACUACAACACCAAUGAUGACUACCCCUACAAACGCAACCAUAGCAAAUCUAACAAACACCACACCAGGAACAAAUACAAGUACAGUGUCUACAACAGCUUCAACUACACCUGUGAAUGCUAUAACACCAAUGAUGACUACCCUUACAAACGCAACCACAGCAAAUCUUACAAACACCACACCAGGAACAAAUACAACUACAGUGUCUACAACAGCUUCAACUACACCUGUGAAUGCUACAACACCAAUGAUGACUACCCCUACAAACGCAACCACAGCAAAUCUUACAAACACCACACCAGGAACAAAUACAACUACAGUGUCUACAACAGCUUCAACUACACCUGUGAAUGCUACAACACCAAUCAUCACUACCCCAACAAACGCAUCCACAGUUACUCCUACAACCACUACAACUGUAAGAACUACAACUAUUGAGGCUGUUACAACAAAGCAGUUGCAGUUCAGAGAUGUUGGAGCAACAUUUACACCUGACUUAGAGAACUCAUCAUCUUCAGCAUUUACAGAAAGAGCCAGACAGACAGUGUUAACACUCGAACCUUUCUACAAGACAUUUCCUUCAUUCCGCUCAAUGAGAGUGAUCAGAUUCAGAAAUGGAUCCAUCAUCAGUGACGUUGAUAUUGACUUUGCAUCUAUAUCAGUGCCUAAUAACACUGAGAUUGAAAAUGUUUUGAUCAAUGCAGCUCCAAACAUAACGACCUUCAACAUUAGCACAGAGUCUGUUAUUGUCAGUGACCCAGUGGUUUUACCUACAACUGUGAGCACUACAACACCAAUGAUGACUACCCCUACAAACGCAACCAUAGCAACUCUUACAAACACCACACCAGGAACAAAUACAACUACAGUGUCUACAACAGCUUCAACUACACCUGUGAAUGCUAUAACACCAAUGAUGACUACCCCUACAAACGCAACCACAGCAAAUCUUACAAACACCACACCAGGAACAAAUACAACUACAGUGUCUACAACAGCUUCAACUACACCUGUGAAUGCUACAACACCAAUGAUGACUACCCCUACAAACGCAACCACAGCAAAUCUUACAAACACCACACCAGGAACAAAUACAACUACAGUUUCUACAACAGCUUCAACUACACCUGUGAAUGCUACAACACCAAUGAUGACUACCCCUACAAACGCAACCAUAGCAAAUCUUACAAACACCACACCAGGAACAAAUACAACUACAGUGUCUACAACAGCUUCAACUACACCUGUGAAUGCUACAACACCAAUGAUGACUACCCCUACAAACGCAACCAUAGCAAAUCUUACAAACACCACACCAGGAACAAAUACAACUACAGUGUCUACAACAGCUUCAACUACACCUGUGAAUGCUACAACACCAAUCAUCACUACCCCAACAAACGCAUCCACAGUUACUCCUACAACCACUACAGCUGUAAGAACUACAACUAUUGAGGCUGUUACAACAAAGCAGUUGCAGUUCAGAGAUGUUGGAGCAACAUUUACACCUGACUUAGAGAACUCAUCAUCUUCAGCAUUUACAGAAAGAGCCAGACAGACAGUGUUAACACUCGAACCUUUCUACAAGACAUUUCCUUCAUUCCGCUCAAUGAGAGUGAUCAGAUUCAGAAAUGGAUCCAUCAUCAGUGACGUUAAUAUUGACUUUGCAUCUAUAUCAGUGCCUAAUAACACUGAGAUUGAAAAUGUUUUGAUCAAUGCAGUUUCAAACAUAACGACCUUCAACAUUAGCAAAGAGUCUGUUAUUGUCAGUGACCCAGCGACUCCUACAACCACUUUGACUGCAACAACUACAACUACAGCGACUCCUACAACCACUACAACUGCAGCAACUACAACUGCAGCAACUGCAACUACAGCAACUCCCACAACCACUAAAGCUGUAACAACUACAACUGCUGAGCCAGUACAAAAAAAGGCAGUGCAAUUCAGAUCUGUUAAUGGGAUAUUUAUAACUGACUUGCUGACAUCAUCAUCCACAGCUUUUAAAGAACGAGCUUCACUGAUAGAGACAGCACUUAAACCUUUCUACCUGGCCAGAUUUCCUUCAUUCCGCUCCAUCAAUGUGACUGCAUUCAGUAAGGGAUCCAUUAUCAAUAACAUGGACAUUGGAUUUGCAAUGUCACUGGUCCCUAAUGCAAAAGAGAUUGCACAAGUUUUGAUUGAUGCAGCCAAGAUAACACCCUUCGACAUUGAUAUCAGUUCUAUUCUUGUGGACGGCAUAUUGUCACAUGGAGUGAGCCACAAGAUCAGUCUCCUCACUGCUUCCUGUAUGGUGCUGCUGUCAUGGCUCCUGUCAGGCCAGCAAUAACAUCUGCGCUGAUGCUCUUGUGAAAUAACUUGAGGAAAUGUCUCCUGUGACUGGGUAUGAAAAAGGACUUUGUUCCAACUGAAAAUCCACGAGGAGCUUCUGAUGAAGAGCAAUCAUACCAUGAUUUAGAAGUAGCUAAAACUGAAAUUAACCUUUAUGUUAUCUAUCAAUAUAAACUUUAACAUAAUUUCCAACAAAGGUGUCAUUGGUUGUCAAUUUAUAAUGUAAGUCCUGUGAUAAAGUCAUACUGUAAGUUAUUAAUAUCAAUGAGAUCAAGUUUUAAUCCAUGAAGCAUCUCCUCAGCUUCUGACUCUGAGAGUGAAAAAAAAUGAAAGUGAUAAUCAGGAAAUCAUCACCUCACCUGGCAUUCAUGAAAUAUAAGAUGUGUGAAAAUGUCCUCUUUGGUCACCUUUACCAGUCAAUAUUUAAAUAUAUUUCUUGUAUAUAUUGUAUUCUAUUAUUGUAUGUAUUCUGUUUGUAUUGUAUUGGAUAAUUAUGGUAAAAAUUCUAAGUGAUCCUGAUACACACAUUUAAAAUUAUUUAAAGAACUGUCCCUAUAAAAAAAUAUAAUAUUAAUAUCACCUUUUUCUUUCUGAAGCAGGUUCUUCACAAGUCUAUCAUGAUAAACUAAAGAAGCGUCAAUUAAAGACAUUGAACAAACCCUGCCUAUCUUGAUUUUUAAAUAUACUACUCUAAUCAACUACUCUAAUUUUUCUUUUCAAAAAAUUGAUUAGGAAAUACUAUCAUAGCACUCUUAAGACCCCUUCAUAGAUUUUUGAUACAAGUAAAACUAAAUCUAAUUCUAAUAAUU